rnacentral:rRNA from 1 species
AUUGAACGCUGGCGGCAGGCCUAACACAUGCAAGUCGAGCGCGCGGCGGACGGUUGCGUAAUGUAUGGGGACUGCCCGAUAGCGGGGGAUAACUACUGGAAACGGUAGCUAAUACCGCAUACUCUCGGAUAACCCAUAUGGGAUUAGCUAGGAGGUUAGGUAAUGGCGCACCUAGGCGACGAUCCCUAGCUGGUCUGAGAGGAUGAUCAGACACACGGGGACUGAGACACGGCCCAGAGUCAUACGGAGGAAGAAGUGGGGAAUAGUGCACAAUGGGCGCAAGCCUGAUGCAGCCAGGCCGCGUGGGGGAUGAAGGCUUUCGGGUUGUAAACCUCUUUCGCUAUCGAACGGGUAGGUGGAGAAGAAGCGCCGGCUAACUACGUGCCAGCAGCCGCGGUAAUUC